rnacentral:rRNA from 1 species
AAGGGCACCACAAGAACGCGUGGAGCAUGUGGCUUAAUUUGACUCAACGUGGGAAAUCUUACCGGGUCCGGACACACUGAGGGUUGACAGGUGUUUGUAGCAUUUGCGCUGCUCUUUUUAAGAGUAGUUUGCAGUGCUACUAUAAAUAUGCUAGUCCUUUCAUGAUUGUGUGAUAGGUGGUGCAUGGCCGUUCUUAGUUCGUGGAGUGAUCUGUCUGCUUAAUUGCGUUUCAUAUGAGUAAUAUGGUGUUGUUUCACUUUCAAUGUGAUACUCCUUUAUUGGAUUGCUGUCCGUUGAUUGUGGCUUCACCAGAAAAUACUCUGAAGGCAACGAACGUGACCGCAACCUCUUGUUGCCUCCCAAUUUUUAUAUGCACAUAAAUUUAUUUAUGUGUAGCGGAGGGAAACUAGAGGGACUGCUGAUGAAUGUUAAACCAGAGGAAGGUUGCGGCAAUAACAGGUCUGUGAUGCCCUUAGAUGUUCCGGGCUGCACACGUGCUACAAUGAUUAUUGCAGUGAGCAUCUUACCCAAGUUCGUAUGUGCAUUAGUCAUGAUUGGGAUCUUUCGGGAUCUUUUAUUAUGCUAUGCAUACAUUACGACUAGCCUGCUUCGAAAGUAAGUAGGUAAUCAAUUCGAAGUAAUGAUUUCCUUUGCAUAAAUACAAUGUCUCUUGUGGAAACAAUCGCCCUUUGUGGUGUUGUUUUUUCUACAAUGAGACAUGUGCUCCAUUAAUUCGUGGUGGGGACAGACCAUUGUUAAUUGUUGGUCUCGUCUUAACUAGGAAUGCCUUGUACGGGUCUUGGUUCAACAAACCAC